rnacentral:rRNA from 1 species
AUUGAACGCUGGCGGCAUGCUUUACACAUGCAAGUCGAACGGUAACAGGCCGCAAGGUGCUGACGAGUGGCGAACGGGUGAGUAAUGCAUCGGAACGUGCCCAGUCGUGGGGGAUAACUACUCGAAAGAGUAGCUAAUACCGCAUACGAUCUAUGGAUGAAAGCGGGGGACCGUAAGGCCUCGCGCGAUUGGAGCGGCCGAUGUCAGAUUAGGUAGUUGGUGGGGUAAAGGCUCACCAAGCCAACGAUCUGUAGCUGGUCUGAGAGGACGACCAGCCACACUGGGACUGAGACACGGCCCAGACUCCUACGGGAGGCAGCAGUGGGGAAUUUUGGACAAUGGGCGCAAGCCUGAUCCAGCAAUGCCACGUGCAGGAAGAAGGCCUUCGGGUUGUAAACUGCUUUUGUACGGAACGAAACGGCUCUGGUUAAUACCCGGGGCUAAUGACGGUACCAUAAGAAUAAGCACCGGCUAACUACGUG